AGUGAACGCUGGCGGUAGGCCUAACACAUGCAAGUCGAACGGCAGCACAGUAAGAGCUUGCUCUUACGGGUGGCGAGUGGCGGACGGGUGAGGAAUACAUCGGAAUCUACUUUUUCGUGGGGGAUAACGUAGGGAAACUUACGCUAAUACCGCAUACGACCUACGGGUGAAAUCAGGGGAUCUUCGGACCUUGCGCGAUUGAAUGAGUCGUGGUCGGAUUGGCUAGUUGGCGGGGUAAAGGCCCACCAAGGCGACGAUCCGUAGCUGGUCUGAGAGGAUGAUCAGCCACACUGGAACUGAGACACGGUCCAGACUCCUACGGGAGGCGGCAGUGGGGAAUAUUGGACAAUGGGCGCAAGCCUGAUCCAGCCAUACCGCGUGGGUGAAGAAGGCCUUCGGGUUGUAAAGCCCUUUUGUUGGGAAAGAAAAGCAGCAGGUUAAUACCCCGCUGUUCUGACGGUACCCAAAGAAUAAGCACCGGCUAACUUCGUG
rnacentral:rRNA from 1 species